GACGAACGCUGGCGGCGUGCCUAACACAUGCAAGUCGAACGGAAAGGCCCUGCUCUUGUGGGGUUCUCGAGUGGCGAACGGGUGAGUAACACGUGAGUAACCUGCCCCUGACUUUGGGAUAACUUCAGGAAAAUGGGGCUAAUACCGGAUAGGAGCUCCUGAUGCACGGGGGGGGUUGGAAAGUUUCGGCGGUGGGGGAUGGACUGGCGGGUUAUCAGCUUGUUGGUGGGGUAGUGGCUUUCGACGGCUGUGACGGGUAGCCGGCCUGAGAGGGGGGACGGGCACAAGGGUCCUGCGAGACGCCCCAGUCUCGUACGGGACGCAGCGGGGGGGAGUAUGACGCAGUGGGCGGAAGCCUGAUGCAGCAACGCCGCGUUCGGAAUGCCGGCCUACGGGUUGUAAACCACUUUCGCCUGUGACGAAGCGUGAGUGACGGUAAUGGGUAAAGAAGCACCGGCUAACUACGUG
rnacentral:rRNA from 1 species